AUGGAAAGACACCAAACAUUAUUAGUCAACAGGGAAAAGCUAGUCGAAGCCCUAGGGGGGUACCGUUACACACAGUUAGAAUUAAAAAGUGUUGGAGACCCACGGCUCCUACAGCCGUCUGCCCUUCACAGCCCUGGGUUCCGGCCAGGCUGCCGCCCUGGCAGUACUGGAGGAUCGGUUCCAGCCGAACAUGAGGCUGGAGGCCGCGCAGGAGCUGCUAGUGGAAGCUAUCACUGCAGGGAUCCUGGGUGACCUGGGCCCUGGGGGCAGUGUGGAUGCAUGUGUGAUAAUGCGGACCGGCGCCAAGCUUCUGAGAACAUUAAGCUCACCCACAAAGCCCAUAGAGAGGCCCAGCCACUACCGCUUUGCCCCUGGGACCACAGUUGUGCUGUCCCAGACAGUGAAGCCUCUGACCCUGGAGCUGCUGGAGGAAACCGUGCAGGCCAUGGAGGUGGAGUGAAGUAGGAUGAUGCUUAGGGCUUGGAACAAGGGGGAAUAAACCCAGGAAAUA